UUUUCCCAAGACCUCCCAUACC
rnacentral:miRNA from 1 species